ACAGUUAUACAAGAAGAACCAGAUGCCACUGAAGAUGCCAACGCAGCGUGGAGGAGCCGGCUUCCCGUGUCAGAGUUGCGUGUACUUGCGGGCUACUUCACCGUCACCAGCCCAUCUGUAGGGAUGGACAUAUGGAUUGAGUGGUACCCACCUGAAAGAUACACAUCUCAGCAGCCAAGAACUUCAAUAAAAAUGUAUAUCCCAACUCCUUUUAUAAUCUUGAAUGCUUCUCGGUCAACGUCGGUGUCACUUCCAGUCUUGGAUGCUACCAGGAUGCCAGGUGCAAACUUCAUGGAGGCAUAA
rnacentral:rRNA from 1 species